rnacentral:rRNA from 1 species
GGACGAACGCUGGCGGCGUGCUUAACACAUGCAAGUCGAACGGUGAACUCCGCUUGCGGGGGGAUCAGUGGCGAACGGGUGGGUAACACGUGGGCAACCUGCCCUCAGCUCUGGGAUAACUCCAAGAAAUUGGGGCUAAUACCGGAUAUGACCGCUGACCGCAUGGUCUGGUGGUGGAAAGAUUUAUCGGCUGGGGAUGGGCCCGCGGCCUAUCAGCUUGUUGGUGGGGUAGUGGCCUACCAAGGCGACGACGGGUAGCCGGCCUGAGAGGGUGACCGGCCACACUGGGACUGAGACACGGACCAGACUCCUACGGGAGGCAGCAGUGGAGAAUAGUGCGCAAUGGGCGAAAGCCUGAAGCAGCGACGCCGCGUGGGGGAUAACGGCCUUCGGGUUGUAAACCUCUUUCAGCUGGGACGAAGCGAAAGUGACGGUACCUGCAGAAGAAGCACCGGCCAACUACGUG